GUAAUACUCCCUCCGUCCAGAAAUACUUGUCGUAGAAAUGGAUACAAAUGGAUGUAUCUAGAACUAAAAUACAUCUAGAUACAUCCAUUCCUUCGAUAAAUAUUUCCGUACAAAGGAAGUAUAUG
rfam:Triticum aestivum genome assembly, contig: Triticum_aestivum_CS42_TGACv1_scaffold_320508_4BL